rnacentral:tRNA from 1 species
UCGCUGAUGGCUCAGAUGGUAAAGUGUCUGCUUAUAAUGCAGGAGACCUGGGUUCGAUUCCUGGGUCAGGAA